ACGCUGGCGGCGUGCCUAACACAUGCAAGUCGAACGGGGUAAAGAGAGCUUGCUUUCUUACUUAGUGGCGAACGGGUGAGUAACGCGUGAGAAACCUGCCUUUCAGUGGGGGACAACAGUUGGAAACGACUGCUAAUACCGCAUAAUGUGCCGGGAGGGCAUCCUCCUGGUACCAAAGCUUAAUGUGCUGAAAGAUGGUCUCGCGUCUGAUUAGCUAGUUGGUGAGGUAACGGCUCACCAAGGCGACGAUCAGUAGCCGGUCUGAGAGGAUGAACGGCCACAUUGGGACUGAGAUACGGCCCAGACUCCUACGGGAGGCAGCAGUGGGGAAUAUUGGGCAAUGGGGGAAACCCUGACCCAGCAACGCCGCGUGAAGGAAGAAGGCCUUCGGGUUGUAAACUUCUUUUACCAGGGACGAAGAACGUGACGGUACCUGGAGAAAAAGCAACGGCUAACUACGUG
rnacentral:rRNA from 1 species